GUCUGGCUUGGUAGUUCCAUUAUAACCUCAGUCAUAUGUAGUAUUUUACCUAUGUUUUGUUGCCCUUGUAGACAGACGAGCUGGUGAGUAGUUACUGUCGCUGUGGAUAUUAACAAUGCCACGGGCAUGGCC